rnacentral:lncRNA from 1 species
GGUGAUGGGUGAUAUUUCUGAUGGCAUGUUGGCAACCCAGAACCAUUCCUUUUUUUUCCUUAGGAUAUCCCUACAUCAUGGAAAAUGGAAGCUUGGAAACUAAAUUUCACAGAAUGCAGGCCAGCAGGAUUCUGGUUGAAGAGCAGCUUCUAUUUUCUUGCUACUUCAGCAGUAGUGCAUGGAGAUUGGACUAAAACCUGGAAGAGGUUAAGGCCAAAAGAAACUGAGCCCAAGGUACUGGAUGAAGCCAGCAUUGAAGAACAACCUGUCUCUAGAAAUCUAGGUCUUUCUCCUUGAUUGUCCUCUUGUGCCUUAAAUUUGGGUCUGGAUGUUCAUGGAAGAAAGAAGAUUUGAGUUCUGCAACUCUCUUAAUAUUGUAUGGCUGAUUUUCUCUAUUCCUGGUCUCAUACUAUCAUUCCCUUCAACUCACUGUAGUCACUAAAGAAAAUUUUAACCAGGUUUUUUUGCCCUCACAAACAUUAAACAUCUUGAUGUUUAUCUUAAAGUAAUCCUGGGCAAUAGUAUCAGUAAUUAUUAUCAUUUUACAUGUGCACAGAGAAAUGUCAUUCUCAUAAUUGUCUAAAGUAGAGGUCAUGACCUAAGACUAGGUCUCCAGGAAUAUUUAAUGGCUGUCAUGGUCCCUUAGAAAGCAUGAAAGGAGUAAUAAAAAGUAUUGGGGGUAGGAUGGACA